rnacentral:rRNA from 1 species
UAGUAACGGCGAGUGAAGAGGGAAAAGCUCAAAUUUUGAAUCUGGUGUCUUUGACUCCCGAGUUGUAAUCUAGAGAAGUGUUUUCCGCGUUGGACCGUGUACAAGUUCCCUGGAACGGGGCGUCAUAGAGGGUGAGAAUCCCGUAUAUGCCACGGACUACCAAUGCUCUGUGAUACACUCUCAACGAGUCGAGUUGUUUGGGCAUGCAGCUCAAAAUGGGUGGUAAAUUCCAUCUAAAGCUAAAUAUUGGCGAGAGACCGAUAGCGAACAAGUACCGUGAGGGAAAGAUGAAAAGCACUUUGGAAAGAGAGUGAAACAGUACGUGAAAUUGUUGAAAGGGAAGCGUUUGAAGUCAGUCACGUCUGUCGGAAUUCAGCCUGGCUUCUGCCUGGUGUACUUUCCGUCCGACGGGUCAGCAUCAAUUUCGACCGAGGGAAAAAGACGUGAGGAAUGUGGCUGUCUUCGGGCAGUGUUGUAGCCUCGGGUUGUAUGUCUCGGUUGGGAUUGAGGAACGCAGCGCGCCUAUUGGCCGGGGGUUCGCGCCCCUCGGUACGCGCUUAGGA